CGGGGCCUGGCGUGGGCCUAGUGGCGCCUGGAGCCCUGCCGCGGUCCCCGUUCGCGGCUGGCUCCGCGGUUCCGGUCCCGCGAUCCCCAGCC
rnacentral:tRNA from 1 species